GCGUGGAGCAUGUGGUUUAAUUCGAAGCAACGCGAAGAACCUUACCAGGUCUUGACAUCCCGAUGCUAUUUCUAGAGAUAGAAAGUUACUUCGGUACAUCGGUGACAGGUGGUGCAUGGUUGUCGUCAGCUCGUGUCGUGAGAUGUUGGGUUAAGUCCCGCAACGAGCGCAACCCCUAUUGUUAGUUGCCAUCAUUCAGUUGGGCACUCUAGCGAGACUGCCGGUAAUAAACCGGAGGAAGGUGGGGAUGACGUCAAAUCAUCAUGCCCCUUAUGACCUGGGCUACACACGUGCUACAAUGGUUGGUACAACGAGUUGCGAGUCGGUGACGGCGAGCUAAUCUCUUAAAGCCAAUCUCAGUUCGGAUUGUAGGCUGCAACUCGCCUACAUGAAGUCGGAAUCGCUAGUAAUCGCGGAUCAGCACGCCGCGGUGAAUACGUUCCCGGGCCUU
rnacentral:rRNA from 1 species